GUUGAUGCAAUACUUAGAUGAUAACCCUUGUUUCAAAAAAAUAAUAACCAACAAACAUUCAUUUGGGCCUUUAUAUCCUUUCUUUCAAUACCUUUUAUAAGAGAGAAAUGUUUGCUAAAGUUUUCAUGAAGCUUAAUUUUGCGAUAAGGAGAAAUGAUUUUCAAUGUGUCGUAAAAAAAAAAGAGAAGAGAAAAAAAAAAGAAGAAGAAAAAAAUAGAAGAAAAAGUAAUGUCUCGGGAAGAGGGGAACACCCUGCCAUCUAACCAGAAGCAUGCAAAAGAAAAAUCAAACUAAUUUGGGGCCAUCCUUUUAGCCGAUCCUUUUCAUGUCCAAUACCUCUUCCAAAUGGAACCCCUUGCCAAAGAAAAAACCGGGACAAAACUUUGUCAGUCUCACCCGAGUUUUUCAUCAACCCACACCACAAUAAACAAAGAAAAAGCAAACAAAAAUUGGGCAGCUUUUUGAGUCUCACACGAGUUCUUCAUCAAUCCAUAACUUCGAGACUGGUGUAGCUUUGCAAAUCUCAUUUGAAAUUUUCACCCUAAUUUUCAUACCCCGGCUCAUUUUCCAAAACAUCAAGCUGGGCACCCUUUGUGUAUCUCGUGUUUUGUCUUGACACUCACGUAUUACAACUCCUUUGAGGAUUGUAGUGCCCAUUUGCCCGUCCCAUCCUUCCAAACCUCUCUAAACAGCUCUCAUUCUCUUCAAAACCAUCCUCUUGCCAAUAAAUUCAAGCAUGCGUGCACUGAUGUCAAGAAAGAAAAAUUCAAACAUAUAAUCAUAUCUAGCAUUAGACCUCGGAUGUAUGACAUUACUCAGUUUUCACAAAACAUUGAACAUGAGGAC
rnacentral:lncRNA from 1 species